rnacentral:rRNA from 1 species
UACGUAGGGUGCAAGCGUUGUCCGGAAUUAUUGGGCGUAAAGAGCUCGUAGGCGGUCUGUCACGUCGGCUGUGAAAACUCGGGGCUCAACCCCGAGCCUGCAGUCGAUACGGGCAGACUAGAGUCCGGCAGGGGAGACUGGAAUUCCUGGUGUAGCGGUGAAAUGCGCAGAUAUCAGGAGGAACACCGGUGGCGAAGGCGGCACUCUGGGCCGGAACUGACGCUGAGGAGCGAAAGCGUGGGGAGCAAACAGG